GAGUAAUCUAAGCAAGACUUCUAAUGACCAACUAGGGCAAAAAUAACAUGUGACAUGGUAAUAGGACAAGGAACAAGACAACAGGCAUUUGAGUAGAGCUGACUAAAGCUAUGCAAUCCUAGAGGCAUCGUGACAAGAACUAAGAACGUAACUUAAUGCAAGAAUGAGAGAGAGGCAUUGGCAUAAACAACAUGUUCAAG
rnacentral:lncRNA from 1 species